rnacentral:rRNA from 1 species
AUUGAACGCUAGCGGGAUGCCUUACACAUGCAAGUCGAACGGAGUGGCGAACGGGUGAGUGAUGUAUCUGAACGUGCCCAGGAGCGGGGGAUAACUACGCGUAAGCGUAGCUGAUACCGCAUCCUAUUGGCGCGGCCGAUACCGGGUUAGCUAGUUGGUGGGGUAAGGGGUCACCAAGGCGACGAUCCGUAGCUGGUUUGGGAGGACGACCAGCCACACUGGGACUGAGACACGGCCCAGACUCCUACGGGAGGCAGCAGUGGGGAAUGUUGGACAAUGGGGGAAACCCUGAUGCAGCCAUCCCGCGUGUGCGAAGAAGGCCUUCGGGUUGUAAAGCACUUUUGGCAGGAAAGCGGUACCUGCAGAAUAAGCACCGGCUAACUACGUGCCAGCAGCCGCGGUAAUUC